rnacentral:lncRNA from 1 species
CCGAGAGAGCUUCCCUGUCCCACACAGGUAUGGAAGCCCAGAGCUCCAGGAUCACCACAGCUGCCCAAUCAUCCAGAAAGAGGUGUGGAGAGGGAAACAAGCAUGACGCGGACCGCCACGAGGUUUCUCCCUGAUGGACGGGGAAGUCUUCUUUGUGGAAGACACUGAGCCACACUAAGAAGCCGCCAGGCUUCUCAGAGACGGGGCAGACACAGCAAGAGGGAGGUCAGAGCAGAGGCCAGAGCCCAGGCAGGAUACGGGGGGGCCAUGCCACCACCACCGGCAUCCGGGGAGGAGUGUCAAACGGGUGACUCAGCCAGGAAGGCCAGCCUUUGAGAGACAGACAUGCUUGCCCCAUCCCCUUGCCGGCUUCCUUCUCCGUCCCUGCGUCGAGCUGUGGCUACAUUUCUCGAUGAGGGCAGAGGGCGACAGGCGUGACAACCACCUUCUUGAAGCUCUGCGGGCACCCUCCUGCGGGUGGACGAUGAGCGCCUGGGAGGCCGUUGUCCU